AUUGAACGCUGGCGGCAGGCCUAACACAUGCAAGUCGAGCGGAUGAGAGGAGCUUGCUCCUCGAUUCAGCGGCGGACGGGUGAGUAAUGCCUAGGAAUCUGCCUAGUAGUGGGGGACAACGUUUCGAAAGGAACGCUAAUACCGCAUACGUCCUACGGGAGAAAGUGGGGGAUCUUCGGACCUCACGCUAUUAGAUGAGCCUAGGUCGGAUUAGCUAGUUGGUAGGGUAACGGCCUACCAAGGCGACGAUCCGUAACUGGUCUGAGAGGAUGAUCAGUCACACUGGAACUGAGACACGGUCCAGACUCCUACGGGAGGCAGCAGUGGGGAAUAUUGGACAAUGGGCGAAAGCCUGAUCCAGCCAUGCCGCGUGUGUGAAGAAGGCCCUCGGGUCGUAAAGCACUUUAAGUUGGGAGGAAGGGCUUACAGCGAAUACCUGUGAGUUUUGACGUUACCGACAGAAUAAGCACCGGCUAACUUCGUGCCAGCAGCCGCAGUAA
rnacentral:rRNA from 1 species